UGUUUAACAAACAGAGUGAGAAUAGAAUGAUGAGCACUUCACCGCUUCAUCUCCUGCACGGCAACAGACUGAAAUAACUACGACAACACGCCCUCGGCCCUGGCAGAGGAAUCAAUUAUGUAUGCGGACUUUACAAUUUGUCACAUCAUGUCUUCAUUUCCAUGCGUGCCACGUAUUUGAUCUUCUUGAAGAUGGAAUAAAAAGUAAAGGAGAGAGAUCUGAGUGGAUCUUCAGAAGAUGGAGAACACUAGAAAGACUAAUGAACGCAUCUUUGUGCGGCGGCGGCGGCGGCGACGACUCCAAGACGGCGCCAUGAUCCUCGGAGCCAUUCUCCAGCCAUGAUCGGAUCUCCUGACUGAUGCCUUCAGCGGACCCGGAGGCUGUAAGGUCAAUCAGACCUUCUUUCCUAUUAUUUGCGAGGUUGCCUGCAGUGGGCGUUUUGCAAUGUACAUCCGUGACAUGAUGGCCUCUUUCUUGGAAGGGUUACCACAUGGGCUUCCUGGACACCUUUUUGUUUCCAAAAUUUCUGCUCACUAAUCCUCUCCAGACAUUCAAACAAACCUUGAGCUGAUGGAAACUUGGUCCUGCUGACUCGAUUGAUCCAAAAUUUAUUUCUGAGGAAUGUCAUCCUCAAUAUGGGAAGUUUGAUUAUGCAAUUAUAGGAAUAAUUUUAAAAUGUUAUGCAACACUGGUAAACAGAACCUAUAUGGACAAAAGAAUUGGGACACUAGGUCUUUACCCUGAAAACGUCUGGGGGGUGGGAGGGGUUCAGUUUAUUUUUUAAAUAAAAAAAA